UCUAGCCUGCCCACUGAUUUAGUUUAAAGGGCCGCGGUAUAUUGACCGUGCGAAGGUAGCAUAAUCAUUAGUCUUUUAAUUGAAGGCUUGUAUGAAUGGUUGGACAAAAAGUAAGCUGUCUCAAUUAUAAUAAUUGAACUUAACUUUUAAGUGAAAAGGCUUAAAUAAAUUAAGGGGACGAUAAGACCCUAUAAAGCUUGACAAUAAUUUAAUUAUACUAUCAAUUGUUAGUGUAACUUGGUUUUARUUAAAAUUUGUUGCGUUGGGGCGACGAGAAUAUAAUAGGUAACUGUUCUUAAAUAUUUAAUAACAAAUAUAAUUGAAAAUUAGUGUGAUCCUCUAUUAGCGAUUAAAAGAUUAAGUUACUUUAGGGAUAACAGCGUAAUCUUCUUUGAGAGUCCAYAUCGACAAGAAGGUUUGCGACCUCGAUGUUGAAUUAAGGUAUCCUUAUGAUGCAGCAGUUAUAAAGGAA
rnacentral:rRNA from 1 species